UCGGCACCCGUUCAAGUUUCCUUUCUGUCUUUCUUGGCUAGCACCGUCCCAGGUAUAGUUUCUCAGGCCUGCCUGCAGCUUGCUUUCCCUUGGGAAACUCAAUCCUGGCCCGCUUCUCUGGAGGAACCAGUAGACAAGCAGUCCCCUCUGUACGUAGGACUCCAUGAGAGUGAGGUAUGCCAUUUGAUCCUUUGCAGAGGAUUGAGUCGCUGUUUAAGCCAAGUGCCCAGUCUGAUGAAACAGUGCCAGCUUCACAGAGCUCGUUGGAGGGGGCAGACUCUGGUCAUCAGCAGCCAUGCAUCUCCUCGCGCCCAUUUCUAAUGGAGGCAAAGAGGUGUCUGAAUUCUUAACUCUGAGGUAUCAGACACAUUGCCCCCUGGCUCGAGAGAGACAAGCUGCGAUCAUUUUAAUCUCAGUAAUAGGAAAUCCGUCAAGUGCUAUAGAAUGCGGUAUUUUUAGGACACAAGGGCCCUGGGUUCUGCUGUUGAUGACCUUCAGAGUAUUAAAACAAUGGUGCUUGCUUUCAUGGAAACUCAGUCAACUUCCCCUACCCCAGGAUACCUGUCCCUCUUCUUUGUCAUUGCUGCCCCCCCCACACUCUUUUGUACCCUUAAGUCAUUGCAUUCUUACCAUCUUUGUUCUACAUCACCACCACGAGCUGAAACCCUUCUUUAUUUAGCUCCGCCUGUAACCUUGUCUCCAUUCUAGUCCCAGUUGUCAGGCAUUUGGCAUGCUAGCAUUUUUAUCUACUGCACAAGUAGGUAUAGUUAUAAAACAGUUCUAUACACUAGGCAUAUCCAUAGCCCAUAGUUAAAGUAAACAUGUGUUUGCUGGGGUUCUGUGCUGUGACCAUGGCCUUGUGAGUGAUUUUUGGCUCACAAGCUCAGAGGGUUUCAGUCCGUUGUGGGGAAGGGUGUGGCAGGGCAGUUCAGCACGAGUCAGCCCAAAAGCAAAGAAGGAAUGCCUGCACGAGGGGAACUUUGUCAUUUUCUCCAAUUUGUCCCAUUGGACUAGCCAAGUCAUCACCACCAUCCACAUUCAAGAAAAGGUUACCCCCACUUAAUCCUCUCUGGAAGCGACCUCCCAGAUACUCUGAGCCAACCGUUCUCAACCUGUGGGUCUCAGCCCCUUCGAAUAAUCACACGCCAAUUGUCCUGUAUAUCAGAUAUUUACAUUACAAUUCCUAACAGUAGCCAAUGAAAUCAUUUUAUGGUUAGGGGGUCACCACAACAUGAAGAACUGUAUUAAAGUGGCUUGGCAUUAGGAAGGUUGAGAACCACUAGACUAAACACUGACCAGCCUUCUGAGGGCGAUGCGGUUAACAAUAGUUUAGUUUCCUGUUGCAGUCAUCAGACUAGACACCUAGAGUUUCUUCCCAGAGUUGCUUUUUUUUUUCUUGCCUCUGAUAAAAUACAUGGGGUUGUUAGUGUCCUAGCCUUUCUCUGCAAAACCUAGGGUUGCCCUUUAUACUGUCAUGAAGGGGACAACAAAGAGUUUUGUGAAGACAGUGUUUUGACAUACUAACAACCUCUCUGCGACAUCAGGAUGCUGCAUUUAUGCAAAGCUGCUAUGUGCCAGGGGAUGAACACCAGUGUACCCAUAGAUACGCCAGUCACCAGCAAAAACAAUGCAGCAAUGCUAGUAGUGACAGAUGUCCCUGCAAGGUCUCCAUGAAAAGGAAGAUGUUACAUUGUGUCAGCUCACUUUUACACUUGUGACUUAGCACCUCCUGUGUGUUGGAGGUCCCGGGGGACUUUUUCCCCCUCUCUCUUGUUGGGUGAAAUGCAUUGCAACUGUAGAAGGACACAGAAUCUCAGCUUAAAAAGAAAACCUCACAAAUAAUUAGGCUCAGCAGUGAGUCCUGCUGCCUUUUUGAGGCGGACUUGAGUUCCAGGCGGCACUGGUUGGAUUUCUCCCCACCUGGAUGGCUUCCUGCCAGCUGUGCUUAGAAGAAAUGUUACAUUGCAGCAGAGGUUGCACAAGGUGCCUCCUGUUUCAGCCCCAAGCUUCCCGGAGUCUGGGAAACAGAAACCUUAGGGUGGCUGUUACUGUUUUAAUGUAGUUUUGACUUGGGCGUUCACCUGAAGAGUGGUCCUGGGCGAAUGUGUCUCUAAUGAUGGAACUGAAGAAGCGAGGAAAAGGGAAGUCAUUCAGAGCCCCGCUGUAAAUUAUUUGCAGAGGGGGGCUACGUUCUCACAGCUCUUACUUUCCUGUGUGUUAGAUAGGCAGUGACCCAUGCCUGUCCCCUUUGCUGCUACACACUCACCCUUUGUUCCGGCCCAAUCGGUGCUCUCCCCAUGUUCUCAUGCUGCUCAAGGGCUGCAGCUGCCCCUUCCCAUCUUCUGUUUCCCACCCACACCAUCCCCAGUUACCUGGGCUGCAUCUGCCCACCCUCUCUGAUGAUCCCAUUUCCUUCCUUUUAAAGUGUCUUUCAUCUUCAGCCCCUACAGAUGUCUCAAGUGUACCUUUCUGCUCCCCUGCAAUUCUUCAUUUAUCUACUUAUCAUAACGCUGUUCAUAAUACAUUGACAUCAUUAGGUUUUUUAAUUUUGUCCCCACUGUUCCGUGUGCUUCACAAAAUGUGGGUACUUGUAACCUCUAGUAUACAGAUGCAACAGGGCCAACCUGUAUUUAGAAAUGGAUGAAAGAAUGACUGAAUGAGUGAAUAAAUGAAUGAAUGAAGCCCAUGAGUGCUGUGUGUCUCACUUUAAAAAAGCCUUGCAGGCUCUCCCAGACCCCUUCUUUAUGUUCUCGUCUGCCUCAGCCUCAGUACUGUACAAACUUGGCCUCCCCUAGCCCCGCACUCCUCAGCACAGUGGGAGUCACCUUUAUCUCUCCACUCCACCUUUUCUGGUAUCACUCAUCCUGCAGGAUUCCAAUUAAAUUCCAUUUUAUUCGCACGGGCUUCUUGUACUAAUACCUCCUCCUACAUCCUGGGAAUUCAGAUGUAGCCCGUCCAGUGCUGUCAAUUAAUCACACAUUUCCUUACACUAUUAUUUAAUGGUUGCACACACACACAACUUCACCAGCUGAAGGAUAUUCUUAGAGGUCAGCGAUUUUGUCAGCUUCCCCUACCCCACCCCUGUGUAUGCAUUACCAUUGCUAAAUGCAGAAUCUGUAUGAUCAGGCUGGGGCUUGACCCUGUUGUGUUUAGCUUAACAUAUGAAGUGGGUCUCUCUUAGGAAAGAAGUUUAUAAGUCAUACUGUGAUAAGAAAAUGAAAGCCCAAGCAAACAUAUAAAAACAGAAAUAAAAAGAAAACUGCCUGAUCUAUAGUAACAACAUUCUAAGAAAAACUGUAUACCUUUAUUCUUAUGAGGAAAACCAAGUUUGUGGCACAGUGGAAACCAGCAUACCCCAUGUAAAAUCAUGUAUACAAUCUUAAUAUAUAAGGCAUUGGACUUGCUCCCCUGGCUUGUAAAGACCAUUGCCAAGAAGUUGGAGCAAAUCUAAUUGUGAGAGAAUUCAGGAGGGAGAGCCCUUUAAGACCAAGGAGAGUUAAAUAUCUGAAAGUCCAGCUGUUGAAACUUACUUCUCACCAAGAGCAUUCACUUUGAAUUCAUGGGUUUGCUAUACGAUUAUACUUUCGAAAGGGGUUUGGUUGGGACUCUCCAUGUUGAAGGGUAAAUUCCUCCUGUUCCUAGCAGUACUGUCUGAGCUACCCAGGCUCCUGAGUACCUAUUUCUGGGAGCCCUGGCUCGGCUUGUGAGUUUCCUCCUAAGCUGUGUGCUGACACUCCACCCCACCCAUUUACAGUCGUUCAUGCAUCAGACCAGGGCUCGAUUCCCCUCUCUAGCUGUUCAUAGCAGGCCUGGAUCGUGCUUUUUGCUUCUGCCCUGAUGAGUUGUGAUUUCCCUUCCCACCCCGGCCUCUGUAAAUGUGGGUUAUUCUUUUCUUUUCUUGCAGCAUCUCUGUUUUUUCUUCAUGGUCCAAAGUCCAUUUUGGGCUCUUUGUUUCUGUUCUGAGUGACUCGUGAAGGUGAUGAGUAUCUCUCGCUCUUCCCUGUGAAAGAAUGAAUUGUUGAGAACCAUCACUCCUUGGCAACCUGGUGCAGAGUUGCAGGCAUGCUAAAUGUUACUCAGUCCCUUCCUCUUGGUACCCGUAUGUGAUGUUGGCUAAGGCAACUCAUCCUACGUUCCAAGAGAAGAAAGAAAAAAGAUAAGAAAUUAGCAACCAGGGGCUUUAAGCACCACUGCACAGUAACGGAAGGAGAAGUGGGAUGCCCUAACAGGUUGUGACCUCUGUGUUUAUAAUGUCUGAGAGUGCGUUCAUGAUACCUGUGCAUGUACACACACUGUCAUGCAUAGGGGAUUUGCAGCAAUAGACACCUGCCAUGUCUUGUGAAUGGACGCAAAUGCUGUCUUUGUGGAGAUGGGAAGGCUGUCCUUAAUCAGCAUGGGGACAGCAGUGAUAAAUACAGCUUAACUAUGUCACAUACCUUGCUAAUUACAAACCUUCCUCAUUCCGCCAUUCCUCCAGCAAAAUGCAAGCCGAGAGAAUGUGCGGCUAAGUCAAAUCACAGCCAUUCGGCGGCAUGAGGGGUAGAACAGGUCUGCCUUCAGCUCAGGAUUCUCGUCAUCCCUGGGUUCUCCUGUGUAACGAGCCAGCCCCAAGAGCAGGACAAAAGCAAGGAGGCUCCCUAAGUCUCACUGUUUGGGGUGCUGGGCAGGCCGUUCUCUGAGGCCAUUUGGGCCAGAUGCCAUUUGUGUCUCAGAACAGCUGGGAUGGCUCGAAGGCGAAAAUCGUGUAUGGUCUUCCAUCCUAAACUUACCCGAAUGUGCCAGAAGGAAGAAGUGUUAUAGUGAGUGCCUCUAGACCACGUCUCUGCCAUGAUGUAUGGUUGAGGCAAGUCACAGAAUAAUCCCGUAUCUGAAAAGUAGUGGAGUGCGUGCUACCUUACAAAGGAAGACGCCUCAGGAAAUUCCUGACCAUUUGAAUCCACCGCGGUAUGCAUUUAACAAAGAGGUGCCCUUCAGAGCCGAUGUCCUGGUUGAAGAAAGUUCCCGCAGAUGAGUGACCCUGUUCCAAACACUUGGUGUUCUUCUGGCCCUGGGAAUCUGUGUCUUCUGGAACUCAGGCAGGCUUUGUAGUUCUUCUCCCCGUGUACUCAGCCCUCUUCCCUUCCCAGCCGAAGGUCUCAGUGCAGGCACAUGGCAAGGUGUCUGUCUGGGCACCACCUCAGCUUUAAGCAUCAUUUAGGUGACUAUAACUCAGACCUUCUCUCCUUAAGAAAUACUGGGUUUUUCUCUGCUCCACACAACGGAUUGUCAUUGGAGUUGGGAAAGGGGGCAGGGGGCGCGCAGAACAUCUUAUUCAUGAGACUAGGUCAGAUUUUAAAACUAAAAGCUAUCUGUAAAGGAUGGAGCAUAGAAAUCCAGUCACUGGUCACCCUGUGUGGGAGAAAUGGAUCUACCAGGCGAAUCUGGAGGGUGGCAGUCAUCUGAGGUGCACAGCUGUGAGUCCAUGCUCUCCUGUCACCAAGCCUGUCACCAAGCCUAACGCAGAGCUUAGCUGGGCUGUCUGUUAGGCUAGCAGCCACGCCACUAUUCUUGUUUCUUUCCUUGCUUGCUUUCCCUACUCUAAAGCCGUCUUGAGCGUGGACACCUCAUUUUUGUAAAGUUUCCACUUUGCCUCUGUCAUUAAUCACCAGGUUUGAAGAUACAGACUCACGGGGCAGACAGCAAACUGUUAAAAUUUGGAGGCAGCGAUACCACUACACGUCACUGGAAGUCAGCCUAAUUAUGGAGAGCAUUCCAUGCCUUUUGGUAUUUUUUGAAUGUUACUGACGAAUUCAUUUACUAUAUAGUAUGGGUAGUCAUUCAUUCUAAAUUUAAUGAGAGUUGUCUUAAACUCUUAAGUUCUGAAACAUUAUGUUAUCAAUUUCUACCUAUAAAUAAUGUCUUCCUUAAAAGUUAUUGAAGAAAAAAUGCAAGCCAGUUAUUUUGAGUUUGAAAUAAAUUAAGUCAUUGUUUAUGAUACCCAGAAGCUUAAAAUAGACUUUGUUCUGGGUUGUGUAUGCUGUGGAUGCCGGGUUCCCAAGCUCCCUUUUGGCUCCUGCCUCUCUCUUGACCAAAGGGCCUGACUCCCUUCCAGAACCAAAACCCAGAGCAUUUAUACCUCGUGUUUUUUGAGACACUACAUCAAAAAUCUUGUUUUUUAAUUUUUAACUCAAAAUUUUUUAAGUUCAUUAUUUUUUCCCAGCUCUAAGAUAAUUAAAAAAAAAAUCUUUAGAUUACCUGAGUGAAAAUGUUAAUGUGUGGCUCCUUGCUUCGCCAAGAAAAAGUUCUUAGCGUAUGUUUACCACGUGAAGGGUCCAAGAAAAGUUGAGGGAAAGAAGCUGAAUCUUGCAGCUCAAUCCAGUUAGCAAGUUCGACCCCGUGCUCCCUCCUCACAGGCACAGUGUGUGGGACACCAAGCUCCCUGCCUAGAACAGCAACAGAGCCUGCCUGGCUGAGCAUGAACCACCCGGCUGGUUUGUCCCCUGUGAGCCAAGUCACUGUCAACCGCCAUAGUGUCCCCAGUGCAGCCACUCAGGAGACCAGACCUUCCCUCUGUGAUUGUCAUCUGUGAGCAGAUGUGUGCCUGGGCACAGUGCAUUUGGUAGAUGGCGUAUAUUCGCUGUGUCACAUGAACUGGGGCACUAGAGUCAAGGCCUGCCUCUGCCUGAAAGGAGCGGAUUCUUGCUCUGAGCCAGGAAGAAAGGCAGGAAAGGGUUGCAUGAUCUGAGAAGUCGCUUUCACCUCUGGGUUCCUCGACUUGUCCGAAUCUUCUCAAUUGGACGAAACCCCAGACAUUCGUGUUAGGAACUUCUUAGGAGAACAAAACAAAACAAAACA